rnacentral:rRNA from 1 species
CCUACGGGUGGCAGCAGUGGGGAAUAUUGCACAAUGGGGGAAACCCUGAUGCAGCGACGCUGCGUGAGUGAAGAAGUAACUCGUUACGUAAAGCUCUAUCAGCAGGGAAGAAAAUGACGGUACCUGAGUAAGAAGAUCUGGCUAACUACGUGCCAGAAGCCGCGGCAAUACGCAGGGGGCAAGCGUUAUCCGGAUUUACUGGGUGUAAAGGGAGCGUAGACGGUGCGCCAAGUCUGGAGUGAAAUGCCGAGGCUUAACUGCGGAACUGCAUUGGAAACUGGCGAACUAGAGUACGGGAGAGGUAGGCGGAAUUCCUGGUGUAGCGGUGAAAUGCGUAGAUAUUAGGAAGAACACCGAUGGCGAAGGCGGCUUACUAAACCGUAACUGACGUUGAGGCUCGAAAGCGUGGGGAGCAAACAGGAUUAGAUACCCUUGUAGUC